rnacentral:rRNA from 1 species
UACGGGGGGAGCAAACGUUGUUCGGAAUCACUGGGCGUAAAGGGCGCGUAGGCGGUCCUGUAAGUGGUGUGUGAAAUCCGAUGGCUCAACCAUCGAGCUGCGCUCCAUACUGCAGGACUUGAGUACAGCAGAGGAAAGUGGAAUUCCCGGUGUAGCGGUGAAAUGCGCAGAUAUCGGGAGGAACACCAAUGGCGAAGGCAGCUCGCUGGACGUUACUGACACUGAGGCGCGAAAGCGUGGGGAGCGAACAGG